rnacentral:lncRNA from 1 species
AGUAACAAAUUAUAUAUGGAUAAUUUAAAAUUGAUGAAAAAUGUAACUAUUUCAAAAAAUAAUAAGAAGAAUAAAAUAUUUAAUGAUAAAACUGAUGAUAUGACAAUUGAGACUUCAUGUGCGUUUAAUGCUGAUAUGUACAGUCGUACAACAAGCAGCAAAAAUAAAGCUCAGGAAAAUAACUACAAUAAAAUGUUAGUGAAAAUAUGGGGGAGUAUAUUAGUGAAAAUGUUAAAAAAAAAUAGUAAUGAAUCUAUAAACAAUAAAACUAUAAACAAACAUAACAUAAAAUCUAAGAACACUGAACUACCAAGUCAUCAAAAUAGUGAUAAACAUUAUGAACAUUAUAAAGAAUGUGAUAGUAAUGCCAAUAAAAACAAAAACAUUAAUAAUUUGCAUAAUCAUGUUAAACUAUAGAUAAAGCAAAUUUUUCAUCCAUUGAGAAAUAUGUAAGUAAUAGUGAGUGUAUGGAAAAUAAAUCUAAAAAAAGUACUAGUUAGUAACCAUAGUUGUAACAUUCCACUAAAAAAAAUUAGAACAAUGUGACAGUAGUAUGAUUCAAAAUGCCAACAAUAAUAAAUUGAAUGAUCUUAGUAAUUUUACUACUACUAAUAAUAAUAAUAAUUAUAAUAAUAAUACGAGUAUUAAAUACACUUCUUUAAUAAAAAAAAAAAAAAAUCAACAAAACAUUAACAAUGGAAAAAAAAAGAAAAGAAAAGCAAACGAAAAAGAAUUAGUUCGUUUAAAAUUGAAUCCUCACACAAAUAAGGAGAAAACAAAUAAUGAGAAAACAAAUAAUGAGAAAACAAAUAAUGAGAAAACAAAUAAUGAGAAAACAAAUAAUGAAAAAACAAAUAAUAAAAAAACAAAUAAUAAAAAAACAAAUAAUAAUUCGUCAGUAACCCAAUGGAAUAAAAAUAAUGAAGAAAUAAAUAAAAAAAGCAUUUUAUGCCAAUACAAAAAAUAUAAAUAUAAAAUAAAAAAAAAAAAAAUUAAACCCAAAGUAUUUAUCAAAAGUGUUUUAUACUCAGAUUGUAUAUCUCCUUCUAUUGUAAAAUUAUGUAAUGAAAUGAAGCAAAACCUUAGUUUUUAUGAAAGAGAAGUUGAUGAUUUUUUGAAUGUUAUUCGAAAUCUUCAAAAUAUUGUUUUGGUUGAACGUGAAAAUAUAGUGAAUUAAAAGAAAUGUUAAAGUACACAACUGAAGAAAUAGAAAAAAGAAAACAAUAAAUUAUAUGAAGAAUUAAGUAUAUAUAAACA